CUGCUUUGGAGAAAAUAUGGUGCCAAGGUCCUGGGAAGAGGCUUUCAGUCAGACUUCCCUGCUUUCAAUUCUAGUUAUGCCCUUGCCAUUUAUUUAAUCUCUGUCACUUUCAAAUUAUUUUUGUGCUUAAAUGAUGCUUUUCUCUCUGUAGCAUUGUGAGAGAUAAAAGCGCAUUUACAUGGACACCGUGGGGUUUAAAACUGAUGAUGUAUAUGCAGUGUUUGUUUCUGUCACACUUCUCCUUUUCCUUUCCAGUUUUCUGAUGGCCAGGAGAAAGCUGUAUCUGUGAUGAAAGUCACUGCAUUGAAAAAUCUCCCUUCUGGCUACAACUGGCACAUUUCAGCAUGUUCUGGGCCAUGCCCUCAGCAGAUAUUCUGAGACCUCCCAACUGAGCGGCUUUGUGUAAACCUGCCCUGCUCACUGAUCAUUAGAACACCUAAUAAAAUCCAGAAGGCUGGAGGAAUUAGCCAGUCAUAGCAUUUCUUGGUCUAAGAAUUUUGGGGGAAACUGCAGCAAUUAUCUCAAAAACCCCCAGAGAUCUAAACACUGUUCCUAAAAUAUGGUAACUUACAAUUUAUUAUAUCUAGAAUAUCUUUGUAGUAAUUUGGCUUUCAGAAAGGGCACUCACAUUAGAAGGCAGCUAGAAUUAGAUGCCAAAAACAAAAUAACAAAACAGGAUUUUACGAAGGUAGAAUUUUCUCACAUGUCCUCACCCCUAACCCAGGAGGAAGAAGCGCCUUUACCCUGCGUAUUCCACGUAUCAACAGGGCCCUGCUCAGUGUGUGCUACUCGUACCACGCACUGGUUUUGUUUGCGUGCCUGCUACUUGCAAGCUGCUUGACGUCACUGCCAUAUUCACUUCUGUAUUCCCACAGCCUAGCAUAUAAACAGUUUUUACAGACCAGGUAUGGUGGCUCACAUCUGUCCUUCCAACACCUUGGGAGACUGAGGAAGGACUAUCACUUGAGGCCAGGAGUUCAAAACCAGCCCUGGCAAUCUAACGAGACUCCAUCUCUACAAAAAAAAAAAAAAAAAAAAAAAAAAAAUUAAAAAAAAAAUAAGUUUUUACAACAAAAUGAAUGGAUGGAUAACCAUAAAGGCUGCAAAUUUGAAAGGCAUUAUUUAGGCCAUUCUUGCUACCAUUUAGGACAUUGAUACCAGUGUAUUAAAAGUCAAGAAGACAGAAAGUAUACUGUUUCAAAUAGUACUUCUCAGGACAACAAAGUUUUCUCUUUCAGACUCUUUCAGAAACUAAAAUUAUAUGACAUGGGUAUUUCUGGGUUUCACUUCAUUUCUCCCUGGGUGGUCUUAUUAACUGAAGAGUGAUCAGGAAUCAGUUUUGCUUUCUCUGUCAUUGGCCCUUAUCUGCUGUCUCCUGUGUUCCUCUCCCUGCUCACAUCCAACAUGAAGACUUGCCCGUAACUGACAUCCUUGUCAAGACUCUUUGUCAAUCAUUUUACUCCUUUCUGUGGGUAAAACUCAGACCUCUUUGCAAGAAUAGAUUUUUGUCCCCAAGGGUUCUUUUGUGUAAGAACUCAGGGUUGUUAGUUACUGGCAAAGUGAACAUAUCUCACAAAACAAGUGUUUUUAUUUUUUAUUUUUUUGCUUGUUUGAGACAAACAGCCUAAAGUGAGAUUUAAUAAAGAAUAUUUUCUUUGUUAGUUUAGUUUGGACCCAGUUCUUAAGAAAACAAACAAACAAAAACAAAAAACAACUAUCCUGCAUCUCCCCUGCCCUCGUGCCUCCCCUUCCAUUAUCACAUAGCAAAGUAUUUGAUUUUCAUCCUGUUUCAUCAAAACCCUUGCACUUGAUCACACGAGGUAUUCAUAGGAGUCAACUCCUGGCUUAAUUAUUUUGAUUCACCGUGUUAGAAAGGGAAGUUAGAGUAGGCGUAGGGGCUGAGCACAUUAGAAGGUACAGAGGCGGAGCAUAUUUCAAGAAUCCCCCCUCCCACAAUAAUGAUAGGCUUUUUCAAGCAGUGGGAUUUGAGCCUUUUACAAAUUAACAUUGUCCAUUUAUUUAACAACUAUCAUAGUAAAUCCAAAUAAUAUGCCUAAAAUGUGCUGCUUUGACUUUUGUUAAUCAUGGAAAAUUGUUCUCUUAUUAAAUUAGAUCUCUUUUGCUCCUCCCCUGCUCUUCAGCACUCAUAUUUCAAUUACUUCAAUCAUUAUUUUGUACAGAAAUAGAAUCUACUCAUCAAAAGCUGGACU
rnacentral:lncRNA from 10 species